rnacentral:rRNA from 1 species
AUGAAUGGUGAACGUAAGGUACACUGGAUCUCGUGGCGGAAAAUGUGUGCAUCGAAGCGGGACGGUGGAAUGGGUUUUAGAGACCCCGAGGCUUUCAAUCAAGCGCUGCUUGCGAAGCAAGCGUGGAGGAUUUUGCAGGUCCCAACUUCCUUGUGCGCUAGGGUGCUCAAGGCACGAUAUUUCAGCAACGACUUGAUCCUGACGGCUACUGCAACCUCGUCUACAUCCUAUACCUUUCGGAGUAUUUUACAUGGCAGGGAC